GAUGAAGAACGUAGCGAAAUGAGAUAAGUAAUGUGAAUUGCAGAAUUCAGUGAAUCAUCGAAUCUUUGAACGCAUCUUGCGCUCCUUGGUAUUCUGAGGAGCAUGCCUGUUUGAGUGUCAUUAAAUUCUCAACUACACUGACUUUGAAUUGGUGUGGCUUGGAUUUGGGGGGAAAAUUGUUGUGGGCUUUUUGUAUAGUCUGCUCCCCUGAAAUUGAUUAGCGGUACCUUUGUGGAACUGUCUACAGGUGUGAUAAUUAUCUACAUCUUAGACAUCUGCUGGAAUGCUGCUUUCUAAACCUUACUUGUAUUGACAAUCUUGACCUCAAAUCAGGCAGGACUACCCUCUGAACUUCAGCAUAUCAAUAAGCGGAGGA
rnacentral:misc_RNA from 1 species